CUCUCAUCAGGCUUAUAUAUCCAAGAGGUUAGACAUGAACCAUAACUUGUCUUUUUUGUUCUCUCUCUCCAAUGACAGAUGGGAUGGCCCUGUAAGUUGUGCAGCACUGUUGUACCAACCAAGAAUGACAUUUUAAAGCAUUACAGACUGCACCAUGGGACCUUUGGACACAGCCAUUCCUUGCCUUGCAUUCAUAUUAAUGAAGCGUUCCGAAGGUGCACUGCUGUUCCACUGGAAUCAACAUUUAUGUCCCAACUGGACAGGUACACUCCAAAACUCCUGGAGCUCUUCAGUGCAAAAGAAGGAGUGACUGCAGCGCAUCAAGAACUUGUUGAUGGAACUGACACAGGACCCAAGUGCCUCUGCAGUGAAGAAGAGAGAUGUGACUGUGAGAUGCCUCAUAGAGUACAUGGGAGAGAGUGGACAGGAGCUAAUCUCUGACUACUGGAACUGCAGAGACCACUGUUCAUGAGGACCUGGAAAUGAAGAAUAUGAGCAUCUACAUCUGUCGUGAGCCAAAUGCAGUAGGAAUCAUCAUUGAGGGAGUACCAGUCCUUACUCAUCUUGGAAACCUGGCCAAAGCAUGCUGCCUACUUCUGGGGUUGACGUAUGCACUUAAUCUUGAGUAUCCAUCCAAACUUACCAAAACAUUUGAGGUGUUUCAAAGACUUUUUGUGGGACUUGACACACUGCGCCCAAAACCAACCCCCAAAUUCAUGACUCUCAAAAAUAAGCUUCUAGCUUAGGCAGUGAGCCAUGACUGUCAGCUUGCACUUUUGAACAGCCAUUUUCUUGUGUCUGUUCAAAAUCAUUAUACAUUGUUCAUUGAGUGGAAUUCUUCAGAAUGUUGUAAGGGUUUGUCCUGUUCAGGUUUUAUACAAAGCUCCAGGUCAUCGUUUCUGGUGUGUAAAUUAAGUUUUUUUUAUGUUUUAUACACACUAAAUUGCCCCACUGUGAAGCUCCAGCUGGUCAGAAGGAGGGAUCUGUGAGUUUUUUAAGUUCAAAUGUUUCAAAAUAUACACACUGAAAGACACUACAGUGAAGGUGUUCUGCUUGUGAAUUGUUACAGAAGUACAGAUAAUCUUAAUAUUAAAUUGUUUUAGCAAGAAACUAUACUGUGAAUGUUCUAAGUAAAACUUGAGAUGCUGAGGUCAUGCAUUCUUUUAUGCACUAAAUACUGAUGUUCUUGACUGUUAAUACUGUCCAGCUUAUUGACAGGUUUGGAUAUGGCUUGUGAAAAUGUUUUAAUAUGCAUACGGUUAAAAAAAGAAAACUACUGUGAAGGUGUUCUAUACAGCACUUUAAAAAGUUGAGGUCAUGCAUUCUUGUAUAAUAUGGAUGUUGACUGUUCAUACUGUCCAGCUCAUUGCCACUGUUUUUAUAUGGUAAUGAUUUAAUAAAGGUUGGAAUUUGA